rnacentral:rRNA from 1 species
UGGGGAAUAUUGCACAAUGGAGGGAACUCUGAUGCAGCGACGCCGCGUGAACGAAGAAGGCUUUCGAGUCGUAAAGUUCUUUUAUAUGGGAAGAUAAUGACGGUACCAUAAGAAAAAGCCCCGGCUAACUACGUGCCAGCAGCCGCGGUAAUACGUAGGGGGCUAGCGUUGUCCGGAAUCACUGGGCGUAAAGGGUUCGCGGGCGGAAAUGCAAGUCAGGUGUAAAAGGCAGUAGCUUAACUACUGUAAGCAUUUGAAACUGCAUAUCUUGAGAAGAGUAGAGGUAAGUGGAAUUUUUAGUGUAGCGGUGAAAUGCGUAGAUAUUAAAAAGAAUACCGGUGGCGAAGGCGGCUUACUGGGCUCAUUCUGACGCUGAGGAACGAAAGCGUGGGUAGCAAACAGG